AAAAACAAAAGCAAGAAAACAAAACCCUCCUCUCCCUCAUUCAAAUUCACGUGGACUCAAACCCUCCUCCCUCACUGCCGUUUUUCUCUCCUCCCUUCACGACCGUCGCCGUCGCGCCGCCGCCUCACCACCGUCGGACUCUUUUCCGUCGUCCCUCGCCAGUCGCCGCACACCACCGUGCUCGCCGCCAGCAACCACCGCGAUCCCUUGCCGUCGCCUGACUUCCCUUGCACGCCACAACAGCAGCCUCGAGCUCCGUCGCCGCCGCUGCGCCCAGCCACGUGUACAACCUCCGCAAGCCGCCGCUGUCCCCGCCGUGCUCUGUCCGCCGGCCAACACUCCUUGUUCUCUCUUUUGGCGGAGAAUUCUUUGUGGGCGACUUUUGAAUUCGUUAAAGUGGCCUAUCAGUUUGUUUACACAAGUCUCUAAGGAUCAAUAAGCAUUGUCCAUCUGCAGGUUUGAAGAUGUUGCAUCAUUGGGAUCGGGAAUAGAGAGCUUGUAUUUAGUUUUGAUUUGCUAAGUUAACUUGGGUUUGUUAAUUGGGACUUUAAACUUGUCGUACUAUUUAUAUUUCCUUAUUUUCGUUGGAUGAUUUUUGGGAUUAAACCUGUAAUCGAUUAUUUAUAAACCUAAAGUUAGCUUUAUGUUUUCCGCUGCAAAAUUCU